AACAGAUCCAUCUUACCCGUGGUGGAAUAGUACCAGCAACACAGAGGCAAAGUGAUGGAAAUGAAACGCAAAAGAUCCAAACUGGUCAUCAGUGAACCCAUACCACACUAGAAGACACAUUCAAGAUGGAAAGUUGUAUGAACUUCACACCUCCUUACCAUCAGCACAGCCAAAAGAAUUCCCACAACCAAACCACAAACUCUUGUGGAGACCAACUCCGUGUUGACGCCCAUGGGUGUUCAAUUAUUUACCUCACAGAGGCACAACAUUGAAGCUGAAGGUGUUCAACUGACCAAAAAAAGAAAUGUUGGAAACCACUAGAUAAUGAAUCAGGUGUAGCUGAAGCAAAAAAGUAAAUAAAAAUAAUAACCUGGUCCUAA